rnacentral:rRNA from 1 species
AUUGAACGCUGGCGGCAGGCCUAACACAUGCAAGUCGAGCGGGGUUUUCGGACCUAGCGGCGGACGGGUGAGUAAUGCGUAGGAAGCUGCCCGAUAGAGGGGGAUACCAGUUGGAAACGACUGUUAAUACCGCAUAAUGUCUACGGACCAAAGUGUGGGACCUUCGGGCCACAUGCUAUCGGAUGCGCCUACGUGGGAUUAGCUAGUUGGUGCGGUAAUGGCUCACCAAGGCGACGAUCUCUAGCUGGUUUGAGAGGAUGAUCAGCCACACUGGAACUGGGUCACGGACCCGACUCCUACGGGAGGCAGCAGUGGGGAAUAUUGGACAAUGGGCGCAAGCCUGAUCCAGCCAUGCCGCGUGUGUGAAGAAGGCCUUCGGGUUGUAAAGCACUUUCAGCGAGGAGGAAGGGUGGUGUGUUAAUAGCACAUCAUUUUGACGUUACUCGCAGAAGAAGCACCGGCUAACUCUGUGCCAGCCGCCGCAGUAAUAC